rnacentral:rRNA from 1 species
GAUGAACGCUGGCGGCGUGCUUAACACAUGCAAGUCGAACGGAGAUGUUUCGCUGUGAAGCUUCGGCGGAACUUGAGACAUCUUAGUGGCGGACGGGUGAGUAACGCGUGGGUAACCUGCCAUAUACAGGGGGAUAACACUUAGAAAUAGGUGCUAAUACCGCAUAAGCGCACAGCUUCGCAUGAAGCAGUGUGAAAAACUCCGGUGGUAUAUGAUGGACCCGCGUCUGAUUAGCUGGUUGGUGAGGUAACGGCCCACCAAGGCGACGAUCAGUAGCCGGCCUGAGAGGGUGAACGGCCACAUUGGGACUGAGACACGGCCCAGACUCCUACGGGAGGCAGCAGUGGGGAAUAUUGGGCAAUGGGGGAAACCCUGACCCAGCAACGCCGCGUGAAGGAAGAAGGCCUUCGGGUUGUAAACUUCUUUUAGCAGGGACGAAGAACGUGACGGUACCUGCAGAAAAAGCAACGGCUAACUACGUG